UACAGAGGUGGCAAGCGUUGUUCGGAAUUACUGGGCGUAAAGAGCGCGCAGGCGGUCAGAUAAGUCGAAUGUGAAAGCCCCCGGCUCAACUGGGGAGGGUCAUUCGAUACUGUUCGACUCGAAGGCAGGAGAGGGAAGUGGAAUUCCCGGUGUAGUGGUGAAAUGCGUAGAUAUCGGGAGGAACACCAGUGGCGAAGGCGACUUCCUGGCCUGUUCUUGACGCUGAGGCGCGAAAGCUAGGGGAGCAACGGGG
rnacentral:rRNA from 1 species